CUGAACCUUCCUUUCAUCUCUGCAAUCUCAUUCAGUCCCUCAGCAUUGUGGGGAUGCAGGCAAACCACUAUAAAUAACUGAGCCUUUGCCUGUCAGCUGGUACAAAUACCAGCCACUUCAAACAAUCUGACCUUUCUUGGGGAUUCUGACCAAACUGCAGUGGAAGACAGCUAAUAUCUUCCAGGAUUUUCCAUGAUUAAGGUACAGACACAUUUCCUGGUCCACAGUUAGUGGAGAGAUGCUCAAGAGCACAAAUCCUCAUUCUGUAGGAUCAAUAUGUCUGGUCUGAGCCUACAGGAUGGAUUUCCUAUCAUUUCCUUAUAUCAACUCUUAAGCUGCCCACAGGCCAUGCUGCU
rnacentral:lncRNA from 1 species